rnacentral:lncRNA from 1 species
AGAGAGAGAGGGGAGGAGAGAGAGUAAUCCUUCGAGGAGUUAGCUGAGGAAGAGGAGGAAGUGCGACCGGGUCUCCUUCCGAUUGAUAUUUUAGGUUGGUUUUGAGUUUUUUCUUUGAUUGAUUGGGAUUUCUGUGAAGAUGAUUUUGUAGUAGAUUCCAGUAUGUUGUAUUUUAGGAGUAGAUUAUGUGAGAGAUUUUGCUAGAUUUUGGGAUUGCAUGCUUCUUC